UACGGAGGGUGCAAGCGUUAUCCGGAUUGACUGGGCGUAAAGGGCGCGUAGGCGGCUUGUACAGUCAGACGUGAAAUUCCUGGGCUCAACCUGGGGGCUGCGGUUGAUACGUGCGGGCUUGAGUUCGGAAGAGGGUCGUGGAAUUCCCAGUGUAGAGGUGAAAUUCGUAGAUAUUGGGAAGAACACCGGUGGCGAAGGCGGCGACCUGGUCCGAUACUGACGCUGAGGCGCGAAAGCGUGGGGAGCAAACAGG
rnacentral:rRNA from 1 species